AAUAGAUUGGAAACUCGCUGCACUUUGAGCACGGUGGAUCUGUCGAGGGAUAGUUCGCGGUGGCUCAGUUUCCUAGGAAUAUAUUGCAACAGGACGGGGGCUUUGUCUGAAGGAGGCUCUGGAUUUGCUGGUCUUUGCAGCGGUUUGUCUCCACGCCCCAGUCAGAAGUUAACAGGGCUUCUGUCUUUGCAGAGCCAUGGGCAGCAAGAAGAAGGAAAUUGCCCUGCAGGUUAACAUCAGCACCCAGGAGCUUUGGGAGGAAAUGCUCAGUUCCAAAGGACUAACUGUUGUCGAUGUCUACCAAGGCUGGUGCGGGCCCUGCAAACCCAUGGUGAGCCUCUUCCAGAAGAUGAGGAUCGAGGGGGGCCUGGACCUUCUGCAUUUUGCAUUAGCAGAAGCAGAUUGUCUUGAUGUCCUUGAAAAAUACCGUGGGAAGUGUGAGCCGACCUUUCUGUUUUAUGCAGGUGGAGAGCUGGUGGCUGUGGUUAGAGGCGCCAAUGCCCCACUGCUGCAGAAAACCAUCCGAGAGCAGCUGGAGGCUGAAAAGAAAGUUCUGGCCGAAGGCUGUGAGCGCAAAGUGAUUAGAGAUGAGCCUCUGUCUGAUGAAGAUGGAUGCCUCUCCCACGAUAAGGACAUUGGUGACGACGAGGACGUGGCUUCAUCAGGGAAGACCUGCACCUUGGCCAUCAUUAAGCCAGAUGCAGUGGUCCAUGGAAAGACUGAUGAGAUUAUUAUGAAGAUCCACGAAGCUGGUUUUGACAUUUUAGCAAAUGAAGAGAGAACCAUGACAGAAGCAGAAAUGCGGCUUUUCUAUCAGCACAAAGCUGGAGAGGAGGCAUUUGAGAAGCUGGUUCACCACAUGUGCAGUGGACCGAGCCACCUCCUGAUCCUCACCAGGCCUGAGGGCACUGAGGACGUGAUCGCUGCCUGGCGAACGCUCAUGGGGCCCUGUGACCCUGAUGUAGCAAGGAGGGAGCAGCCUGACAGGUGAUGUCACCAGCUGUUGUCUUUUCAUUUGUCUCAAAACCUGCAUCCAAAGAAGCCCAGAGCCUUGCUCUAUAUUCAGCCCCAAAUCCCUGUUACAUAUAUUUGGAGAGAUGCUGACCUCUUUGUUAUCUAUGUGAGGAGACCCUGCUACCCUCACUCUCUGAUCUAGUCCUACAGUUAUGGAGUUCCACAGUGUGGUUCCAGAAACAAAGGCAACACGCAUCCAGGAAAUACGGAUUACAGGUCCCCGCCAAACUCUGCCAAGUCAGAGACUCUGGGCAGAGCCUUAAGGGUCCACCCAGGGUGUUCUGAGGCCCCCUGGAUUCUGAGCACUUGGUUCUGCACUUUGCACGAGGCUGCCGUGGCCCUGUAUUUAGCCUGGCAUCAAUGCCAAACCCACUGUGCCCUGUCUUUGAAGCUGAGAGAGCCCAGUGACCAGAAAGGAAACGAGCAAGAGACUAAGUAAUUGCAGUUGUACCUUGCAGUUGUAGGAGACCAGAACAUUCAUACAUGGGACUAAUAAGACAGCCCAGGGUUCAGAUCCUAGCUAACCACAUAGUUGAGUAAGUCCUUUUUCUGAGCCUCAGUUCUCAUCUGUAAAAUGGGGUUAUGACACCUGCCCUGGGAGCUGUUAAGAGUACUCCCUAGGGCCAUACAUUAAUCCCUCUGUGCCUUAAUUUCUUCAUCUGAAAAAUGGGUACAAUGACUCACACAUUGAUGAGAGGAUUAAAUGACCAUAUGUAUGCAUGUGUGUGUGUGUGUGUGUCUGUAUGUGUAUAUACAUAUAUGUAUAUGAAACUCUUGGAACAGUGCUUGAUGCAAAGGAAGCCCUGGCAGUAUUAGUGUUAUCUUAUGGGGCUAUUGAGGAAUUAAUGAAGCACACCUACAUCGAACUCUUGGCAGGGCAUCCGUCCCUGGUAGUGAGAUCAACAAAAUGGCAGCUCUCGAGCCUACACCGUGACUCACGCAUAUUUAUAUUGAGAAUCAUGACAGAGUGUCCUUCACAGAGCUGUGGCACAAACGAAACGGGAUCGUGUAUUAUCCGCGCUCAGUUUGGCACAGAAAUGCCCUUCAACGCAGUCCACGGAAGCCAGGACAGAGAGG